rnacentral:lncRNA from 1 species
GCAAAUAGCUGUGUGGUUGUUCACCUGUUUUCUUUAUUUGUAACCUCUUACCUAAAAUAUCUCUGUGCCAAUGGAAUACUUCUGUGCCAAAUCCUUGUACUUAAGAACAAGUCACUGGCAGCAACAUAGAGGUUUGCUGAAGUGUUUGCAUAUGCUGACUAUCCCAGCGUGUACCUAGGAGGGACUGGCCGGCCCUGGACAAGAUCCUUUUGCACUUUCCCAGGGAUCAUGUGUGCAUCUAGACUGUCUCUUAAGAGCAGGUUGGAAACAGGAAAGGUAUGCGCAUCAAUGUGUAUAAGGCUUAGAAUAUCUAAUGGAGAUAGUGCCUACAGGAAGUAGCUGUGCGCUACAGUGAAUAGCUGCUUACUGCUGCUGUCCUUUUCAGAAUGGACUUAGUCAUUUGGAGAUGGGUCAUAGUUCUUGAAUGAAGUCUGGCCAUAUGUCUGAGGUGACCCAGGAUGUGUCUUUGAUUUAUUAUAAAAUGGUCACUGGCCAGUGAGCAGCAUGUGGCAGGUAAGAAGGCCAAGGUCAGUGCUUGGCUUUGUGGGGCUGUGCAAUUGUCCCAUAUGUGGGAGCUGAUUCAUGACCCUGUGGGGAUGCAGGUGUCCAGAAAAAUACUUUUGAUGACCUAAUUUCGGGCAGUUGAAAGUGCCACAUUAUUGCUGAAAUGAGCUUUGGACAAGAGAAUGACUUUGUAUGUGCUUUCAGCCUUCUUUUCCACACUACUUCUUUUGCUGCUGUACCAGCAAUGGUGAAGAAAGAGGCAAUAUUUGACCUUCCAUGGGACAAAUCGGGAACAAUAGAGGAAACCUACUCAAGACCUUGCUAUACCAC